CGAUCUGUGGCUUAGUUGGUUAAAACGCCAGUCUAGCGAAUACGAAAUCGUGAGUUCGAAUCCCACCAGAACGC
rnacentral:tRNA from 1 species